rnacentral:rRNA from 1 species
GUGCCAGCCGCCGCGGUAAUACCGGCAGCCCGAGUGAUGGCCGAUCUUAUUGGGCCUAAAGCGUCCGUAGCUGGCUGCGCAAGUCCGUCGGGAAAUCCACUCGCCCAACGAGUGGGCGUCCGACGGAAACCGUGUGGCUUGGAACCGGAAGGCUCAGAGGGUACGUCCGGGGUAGGAGUGAAAUCCCAUAAUCCCGCACGGACCACCGAUGGCGAAAGCACUUCGAGAAAACGGAUCCGACAGUGAGGGACGAAAGCCAGGGUCUCCAACCGGAUUAGAUACCCUGGUAGUCC